CCCACCCUCUCACCACGUUCUAAUUAUGCUUUUCUCAGAUUGUCGGGCUUCUUCCUGCCUCUGUGACUUCAUAGACAAUGCUCCUCCUAGGAUACAUACUCCUCCCCACCUUCCUGGCCAAGCCCCACCAGCUGGUACCUCCCUCCCCCAAGCAGCUUUCCCCUGCCCCUUGAAAAUGAGCAGAGGCUUCUCAUUCUCACUUCAGCCUCCCUGCUUUCUCCAUCACCUUCAUCUCAAUCACAGGGACCUGCAGCCACCAGAACAGGCCCCACCAAGACCUUCCUAGUAGGAAGAUGCAGACCAACAAGGUUCUCUGGUUUCUCUGCUCAUGAAGGUUCUAAGAAGGUCACUGGUGUGAGCUGGAACUCUCUGCUUGAAUACUUGGGUUUCCCACUGGAAGGAUUGUGUGUGAGCUUGUUCUGAGAGCAUAAGACAGCUCUCACCUUCUUCUUAUCCCUCCUGCCUUGCUUGAGGUAGCCAGUAAAAACACAAGACAUCUCAUUAAACCCAAAUUGCAGCCCCUGUCAAGACCCUGACUCCAGAAGAGGCCUUUCAAACACACUUAUUGAAUGAAGGCUGAUUGGAGGAGAAAAUGGGAGCCUGGGUGAUAAUAAAUCAGAGUGGCUUGCC